rnacentral:rRNA from 1 species
AAAUUGAAGAGUUUGAUCAUGGCUCAGAUUGAACGCUGGCGGCAGGCCUAACACAUGCAAGUCGAACGGUAACAGGAAGCAGCUUGCUGCUUCGCUGACGAGUGGCGGACGGGUGAGUAAUGUCUGGGAAACUGCCUGAUGGAGGGGGGUAACUACUGGAAACGGUAGCUAAUACCGCAUAACGUCGCAAGACCAAAGAGGGGGACCUUCGGGCCUCUUGCCAUCGGAUGUGCCCAGAUGGGAUUAGCUAGUAGGUGGGGUAACGGCUCACCUAGGCGACGAUCCCUAGCUGGUCUGAGAGGAUGACCAGCCACACUGGAACUGAGACACGGUCCAGACUCCUACGGGAGGCAGCAGUGGGGAAUAUUGCACAAUGGGCGCAAG